rnacentral:rRNA from 1 species
CAACGCCGCGUGUGCGAUGAAGGCCUUCGGGUCGUAAAGCACUUUUCUGAGAGAUGAGCAAGGACAGUAUCUCAGGAAUAAGUCUCGGCUAACUACGUGCCAGCAGCCGCGGUAAAACGUAGGAGGCGAGCGUUAUCCGGAUUCACUGGGCGUAAAGCGCGUGCAGGCGGUUCGGUAAGUUGGGUAUGAAAUCUCCUGGCUUAACUAGGAGAGGUUAUCCAAUACUACCGGACUUGAGAGUGGUAGAGGAAGAUGGAAUUCCCGGUGUAGUGGUGAAAUGCGUAGAUAUCGGGAGGAACACCAGUGGCGAAAGCGAUCUUCUGGACCAUUUCUGACGCUCAGACGCGAAAGCUAGGGUAGUAAACGGGAUUAGAGACCCCGGUAAUCCUAGCCGUAAACGAUGUAAACUUGGCGUCGGUGGCUUAAACACCAUCGGUGCCGCAGCUAACGCGAUAAGUUUACCGCCUGGGGACUACGAUCGCAAGAUUAAAACUCAAAGGAAUUGACGGGG